CUGGUAGUGGGGGAUAACGUCCGGAAACGGACGCUAAUACCGCAUACUUCCUACGGGAGAAAGCAGGGGACCUUCGGGCCUUGCGCUAUCAGAUGAGCCUAGGUCGGAUUAGCUAUUUGGUGGGGUAAUGGCUCACCAUGGCGAGUAUCCGUAACUGGUCUGAUAGGAUGAUCAGUCACACUGGAACUGAGACACGGUCCAGAUCCUACGGGACGCAGCAGUGGGGAAUAUUGGACAAUGGGCGAAAGCCUGAUCCAGCCAUGCCGCGUGUGUGAAGAAUGUCUUCGGAUUGUAAAGCACUUUAAGUUGGGAGGAAGGGCAGUAAAUUAAUACUUUGCUGUUUUGACGUUACCGAAAGA
rnacentral:rRNA from 1 species